CUAAACGUAUCACCGAAGCUGCGGACUGUUCUUCGAACAGUGGUAGGAGAGCGUUCUAAGGGCUGUGAAGCCAGACCGGAAGGACUGGUGGAGCGCUUAGAAGUGAGAAUGCCGGUAUGAGUAGCGAAAGAGGGGUGAGAAUCCCCUCCACCGAAUGCCUAAGGUUUCCUGAGGAAGGCUCGUCCGCUCAGGGUUAAUCGGGACCUAAGCCGAGGCCGAAAGGCGUAG
rnacentral:rRNA from 1 species